rnacentral:rRNA from 1 species
AUUGAACGCUGGCGGCAGGCCUAACACAUGCAAGUCGAGCGAGCGGCGGACGGGUGAGUAAUGUCUGGGAAACUGCCCGAUGGAGGGGGAUAACUCCUGGAAACGGUCGCUCAUACCCCAUACCAUCAGAUGUGCCCAGAUGGGGGUAGCUAGUGGGUGGGGUAACGGCUCACCUAUGCGACGAUCCCUAGCUGGUCUGAGAGGAUGACCAGCCACACUGGAAUGGAGACACGGUCCAGACUCCGACGGGAGGCAGCAGUGGGGAAUAUUGCACAAUGGGCGCAAGCCUGAUGCAGCCAUGCCGCGUGUGUGAAGAAGGCCUUCGGGUUGUAAAGCACUUUCAGCGGGGAGGCGUUACCCGCAGAAGAAGCACCGGCUAACUCCGUGCCAGCAGCCGCGGUAAUUC